rnacentral:lncRNA from 1 species
CCCUCCUCUCUCAAAUGCUCCCAAGGCCAUCUAAAACCCUAGCCACCUCUAGUCACUUUCUGACCUCCUUCCACCGGAAACUAUGACAAUCUAGGCUUAACGCUACCUGCACUCACUCCUCAAUCCAUUCUACAGCCAUGUUGUUCGAGAAUUGAAACCCUAUUGUGAACACCACUGUUAAGAGGUCCAUCGAAUUGAGUUUUACGACCAUGUCCUGUCUUUCUCCUGCAAGCCUUGAUGCUGUGAGUCCUUUGUCGACUUAGAAAUAGUCCGUUCUAAGCCUUUCUCGUGUAUCUAUGGUUCUCUCUCUGAAACCCUAAUUUUCAAGGUUUUCUCUGUGUUUAUCUUUACGAUCUUCUCUAGAUCCUCGUUAUUUUCUAAUAGUUUCUAAGUAUUUCUCACAUUUCUUCACCGACAUUGUUUUCAAACGGUUCAUCUUCCUAAAAUUUAGGGUCUCUUUGAUUUCUUUGCUUUAUUUGCUCUGUCGUGACUUCUUCUAAUUUUACUGUGAUUUCUGAGUAUUUUCUACUAUGGCUAACUGCUUCUGAUUUCUUACUAGCGUGCUUCUGCUCUUUGAUUACAUGAUUGUUCUACCGAUUUCAGUAAUGCAUAUUCGAAUUGGUGCACUUCUUUGUAUAGUCAUAUUUUCCCCCUUUUCUGAAUAACCCUAAUUUUUGGAAAAUUGAUUUCUAACAAACUUAUGUGAUCCUUUAAUUUGGACCUACUCCUUGACUAAGUUCAGUAUCAAUUUGUAUCUCAAAUUCUUUGAUUCUCUAUGUGAUUGACCUGCCUUAUGUGUUAAACCGUGUGAAUUUCCAAACCCUUACACGUAUUUACCCUGUAUUUUAUAAUUUAUUCUUGAUUCUUUUCCCAAAAAUAAACUUGGGUUUAUUACCUCAAGUUAAGUUCCUUAAUUAGAGGGAACCCUUUCCCUAAUUGAUUAUGAUUGAUACUGAGAUUAUUUUCCUGUCUUCUUUACUACUUACUUUCAAGCUAUAAAAACCCAUACCUCUUUUAUUUCAAGGACACGAACAAUUUCAUAAGUUUAUAAUAUACAUUCUCUCUUUUCUUCUCUGCUCUUCUGUGUUACUAAGUUCAUUGUUACUAGGUAUGCUGCUUCUAUUAGCCGGGUGAAAGCCAAGGCUAACUAUAGGAUCCUACUUGUUCUGUUUGUACUUCUGUUUGAAACUUGCAACUGGUAGGUUCCUGAUUUACAUAUUAACUCCAAACUAUAUGUUUACUUACCUCUUCCCCCAUGUAUGUUUAUGUUCAGUGUAUAGUUAAAUUUCAGCAUGCACAUCCCUACACCAUAUUCCCAUGUGUUUAAUUCUGUUAUGUUUGUUAUAAUUAUCUUCCUUCACAUCCUUUUCCACAAAACCCCUAUAGUUUAACUAUGUUCUAUUUUUGUGCAAAUGCUUUCAUAUUUGAUCCACUUCCCCUACCCCUUUUGUAUGUGAGUGUUGUAUCGGACUAGAGUGGCACCCUAUUGCCACCUCUAGUUUGGAACCAUGUUGUUCUCCACCUAUACUCAAAGUAAUCGCACUCCUUUAACCCUCCCCUAUUUAUGUGGUUAGCCUGACCCACGCCUGGUGGUGCCCUAAUCACCAUUCAAACCUGAGUCUGACUUUCUCAACUCUGCUCUUUAUGUGUUUGAGCCAGUAAAAGGUCACUGGUGUGCUAGUCUUGCCCAUGGCUGGGUAUGACCACCCCUUACUUGGCUUUUUCCCCUCAAAUAUCCUUCACCUUUACACUCAUUCUUAGUCUCUCUUAAGUUCUAGCCCCUUUGGUAAGCCAUGCCUUGGGACCCUUAAGCUCCCUCUGAUCUCGGAUGCCUUAAGGCUGGUACUUCCACACUGCAUUAUUCUGUUACUCGAAGCUAUUCAGGUUGCUAAGAAUUGCC